AUUUAACAUCGACAAAUUUUUAAAUAUUUAGCAUAUAGAGGUAUAAUAUUACAAUAUUAAAUUAUAUCUAUUUAAUUUAUACUAUCUAUAACUCUAAUGGAUCAUCUAUUGUUUAAAUCUAAUUAUUGAUAGUCCAAUAAAAAUUUUUGGUAGACUCAAAAUUUAAAUGAUAAGAUUAGAUAUUAAAUGUAACAUGACUUUAUAGGAAUAUGUUCAUUAGGUCCAUUUUUUAAAAACAAAUCAUACAUAAAUCAAGGUUGUGACUUCUGUUUUAAUAUAUAAGAUAUUAAAACCAAAUUUUGUCUUUUCAUUUCUUAUUGUUGGCAUUAACGUUGGACUAUAUUUACAAAUAAAUAAAAGCAAAACUUGUAAAUAAAAUAUGCCAAAAGAGGAGAAAAUGGAAGAAAUAGCAGUUAUAUUAAGCUUCGGAAAAAAUAAAAUAAAAAAAUACUAGUUAUAAUAAGCACUAGUUUCCAGGAAGAAUACUAAGUAAACAGUUUGGUCUGAUCUCCG
rnacentral:lncRNA from 1 species